rnacentral:lncRNA from 1 species
CAAAUCUUGACAAGAGGGCCAUCGAUGGCAAUGACGAACUGAUGGGAACCACAAGGAGGCACUUGUGGAAAUUCAUUUACCUUCCCUGGCAUUCAGGUAUGUGAAAAGACUACAAUACUGGUAAGACAGGCCCUACGAUCCUGCAGCCACAGUCCUCUUCCUACCCACACAUGAGUUUCUGACCAUGGGUGGAAUUCCCUGGAGCCCAAACCUGCUUGCUCAUUUUAUAAUAAUAGUCAGGGUAUCAAGUUUGAACUGAUAUUAUGGACAGAAUGUUUGCAUACCACCCCCCCACCAAAACAAACAAACAAAUAAACAAACAAAAACCUCCAUCUGUUGAUGCCCUAAGCACCAAUUUGAAGGUGGUGCCUUGGGAAAUAAAUAGGGCUAAGUUAGGUCAUGAGGUUGGGAUCUUUACAAUGGGAUUAGUGUCCCUAUGAAAAGAGGAGGAGCUUUCUCUGUGCUUUAUGAAGACACAGUGAGAAGGUGACUGUCUAUAAGCCAGGAAGAGCUUUUGCCAGGAACUAAAUCGACUGGAACCUUCAUCUUGGACUUUGAGGCCUCCAGAAGUGUGAGAAAUUCCUGUUGCUUAACCCAGACAAUCUCCUGUACUCAUUUUAUGAAGGCAGCCCAAGCAGCCUAAGAGACUUGAAGUUUAGGCUUCUGAGGAUUUGAUAAACAAAUUGGAUUUCUCAGAGAUACUGUUUGAUGGCCGAACAUUUCUUCGUAUUCAUUCUUUCCUCAUUUUUAUCAAUAAUCAUUAUCACACCUCAUCAGCAAGUUCAUUACUUUAUCAGAUAAGUAUUUAUCAAGCAUGUAUUAAUGUAGCUAUUUUGGCCUUAAGCUCUGAAUAGGGUACAAAGAAGAAUGAGCAUCCAUCAUUGUAAUUGAAACUCUCA